AUUGAACGCUGGCGGCAGGCCUAACACAUGCAAGUCGAGCGGAUGAAGGGAGCUUGCUCCUGGAUUCAGCGGCGGACGGGUGAGUAAUGCCUAGGAAUCUGCCUGGUAGUGGGGGAUAACGUCCGGAAACGGGCGCUAAUACCGCAUACGUCCUGAGGGAGAAAGUGGGGGAUCUUCGGACCUCACGCUAUCAGAUGAGCCUAGGUCGGAUUAGCUAGUUGGUGGGGUAAAGGCCACCAAGGCGACGAUCCGUAACUGGUCUGAGAGGAUGAUCAGUCACACUGGAACUGAGACACGGUCCAGACUCCUACGGGAGGCAGCAGUGGGGAAUAUUGGACAAUGGGCGAAAGCCUGAUCCAGCCAUGCCGCGUGUGUGAAGAAGGUCUUCGGAUUGUAAAGCACUUUAAGUUGGGAGGAAGGGCAGUAAGUUAAUACCUUGCUGUUUUGACGGUACCAACAGAAUAAGCACCGGCUAACUUCGUG
rnacentral:rRNA from 1 species